rnacentral:rRNA from 1 species
GAUCCUGGCUCAGGAUGAACGCUAGCUACAGGCUUAACACAUGCAAGUCGAGGGGCAGCGGGAUUGAAGCUUGCUUCAAUUGCCGGCGACCGGCGCACGGGUGAGUAACGCGUAUCCAACCUUCCGUACACUCAGGGAUAGCCUUUCGAAAGAAAGAUUAAUACCUGAUGGUAUGAUGAGAUUUCAUGGUAGUUCACUCAUUAAAGUAAUUUAUUCGGUGGUUACGAUGGGGUAGGUGCGUUCCCGU